CAGCAGCCGCGGUAAUACGAGGGGGGCUAGCGUUGCUCGGAAUGACUGGGCGUAAAGGGCGCGUAGGCGGCGGUCAAAAUCAGGCGUGAAAUUCCUGGGCUCAACCUGGGGGCUGCGCUUGAUACUUGGUUGCUUGAGUGGGGAAGAGGGUCGUGGAAUUCCCAGUGUAGAGGUGAAAUUCGUAGAUAUUGGGAAGAACACCGGUGGCGAAGGCGGCGACCUGGUCCUUGACUGACGCUGAGGCGCGAAAGCGUGGGGAGCAAACAGGAUUAGAUACCCGGGUAGUCCCUGUCUCUUAUAC
rnacentral:rRNA from 1 species